CAGGCAACACGUACAAUUUGUUUCCUUCAGUCGUACGAACAGAGAUUCUCAAAAUCUUCCAGCUCUGCCUGUGUUGGAGGAUAACGACUUGUAUUUCUCAUCAGGUGGUGUGAAGAAAAUGGACUUGCGAGUUUCACAGACGAGUCUCGUUCGUGAUGGAGCCCAGCAAAGCACCAGCACACAAAAUGAUGACAAGAAGGACAACAAAAAAGGCCAAAAAGAAAUGAAGAAAAUUCAAGGUGAAAAUGU